UACGUAGGGUGCAAGCGUUAAUCGGAAUUACUGGGCGUAAAGCGUGCGCAGGCGGUUGUGCAAGACAGAGGGGAAAUCCCCGGGCUCAACCUGGGAACUGCAUUUGUGACUGCAUCGCUGGAGUACGGCAGAGGGGGAUGGAAUUCCGCGUGUAGCAGUGAAAUGCGUAGAUAUGCGGAGGAACACCGAUGGCGAAGGCAAUCCCCUGGGCCUGUACUGACGCUCAUGCACGAAAGCGUGGGGAGCAAACAGG
rnacentral:rRNA from 1 species